UACAGAGGUCCCGAGCGUUGUUCGGAUUCACUGGGCGUAAAGCGUGCGCAGGCGGUUUUGUAAGUCAGAUGUGAAAUCCCCGGGCUUAACCUGGGAACUGCGCUUGUAACUGGCAAGCUGGAGUGUGGCAGAGGGGGGUGGAAUUCCGACGUGUAGCAGUGAAAUGCGUAGAGAUGUGGAGGAAUACCGAUGGCGAAGGCAGCCUCCUGGGCCAACACUGACGCUCAUGCACGAAAGCGUGGGGAGCAAACAGG
rnacentral:rRNA from 1 species